GACGAACGCUGGCGGCGUGCUUAACACAUGCAAGUCGAACGGAAAGGCCCCUUUGGGGGUCCUCGAGUGGCGAACGGGUGAGUAACACGUGAGUAACCUGCCCUUGACUUCGGGAUAACUUCAGGAAACUGGGGCUAAUACCGGAUAGGAAUCCUUGCUGCAUGGUGGGGGUUGGAAAGCUUCGGCGGUUUUGGAUGGACUCGCGGCUUAUCCGCUUGUUGGUGGGGUAGUGGCUUACCAAGGCUUUGACGGGUAGCCGGCCUGAGAGGGCGACCGGCCACCUUGGGACUGAGAGACGGCCCAGACGCCUACGGGAGGCAGCAGUGGGGAAUAUUGCACAAUGGGCGGAAGCCUGAUGCAGCAACGCCGCGUGCGGGAUGACGGCCUUCGGGUUGUAAACCGCUUUCAGCAGGGGCGAAGCUUGUGGUGACGGUACCUGCAGAAGAAGCACCGGCUAACUACGUG
rnacentral:rRNA from 1 species